GAAUCUAUUAAAAGACUACUUCGUAUAACCCCGGUAAUAGGUCCGGGGGUCUCUACCAGGUGACCGUAAAUCACCCGACUACGAAGUCGGGUUUUGCGUGG
rnacentral:ncRNA from 2 species